GCCCCGCCCCAAUCCCCGCCUCGCCCCCGCCCCGCCUCCUUGGAGCGGGCCCCGCCUUCAUGCUCACCGAGCUGGCUCCGCCCCCGCACGCGAUUUCCCGGCUUUCGGGACCUGCCGAACUGUGUUCCCGCGGGGGUUCGUUGGGGCGCGCGAUCCAGUUGACUUACUCGGAGGCGCAAGAUCCCGCGAGAGCAGGAGCUUGACCAUUUUUCCUAAGGCGGGAGCGGAGCGCUGUGGCUUAGCUGUUGGAGAAAGGUGGCUGCAGUUACCAAGAGUGAAGACACCUGGAAAGAAGUUGUCGUCACUAAGAGUGUCUUCUGGAAGGCUGCUGGUCUGCGAUGGAGAAAACUGAGACUCAAAGAGAUUUAUUUUCCUUCCCAACACAGUAGUAAAAUGGGCAGAAAUGAAAGGAGCCUGCAGGUUGAACCCAGGGACUCAUUAACUGACUGAUGAACUGAGCCAAGCAAGGACUAGAAAGACCCUUUUCUACCUUCUUUGUUAAGCGAUCUCUGAGUGUGUGAUUUCUACAUCCCACAAGUGGAUUAUCAUUGGAUCAGUAUUAAGUUUCUAUAUAUGGUUGUCAGUUUCUAUGACAUCUGUCAUGUUCCACUGGUCUGUUAGUCUGUUUCCAUCCCAAUAUCACACUCUCUUAAAUUUUAUAACUUUAUAAUGAAUCUAUAUCUGGCAGGGCAAGCAGUAUCCUCUCUGUUUUUCUUCUUUAAGAAGAUCUUAACUUGUCUUGGAUCUUCCACAUACAUAUUUAAAUCAUUUUGUCAAUGUCAAGAACUGUGUGAGUUCUGAGAUUUUGCCAUACUUACAAGCCACCAAGUUAGCUUACCACAGUUUCAUGAAUGCUGGAAGAAGACACGAACUCCUGAGUCAGAGAUAAAAGACUUUACUUAAGGCACAGCAAGCAGCAUGAGCUUCCUAUUUACAUCUAUUCUCCUUGUCUCCAAGUCCCAUGGGGCAAUGUGGAUGGGCUCAGAUGGAUGCCUGCAUAUGCAUUGGGUGCCUUAUAGAAAAGGAACCCUAAGCUUAGGGAACCUGAAUCUUUUAUACUGGGCAGUAAGUAUGAAGGCUGUUUGCUCCAGAGGGAGACACUAUACCUUCCAACACUGUUCGUUAUACAAACAUCCCAGACAAGUUAGUCCAGAACAAAAGCAGUCAAUGUCUCUUAUCUUUUAGUUUUUAAAAUAUUUUCUUAUUUUAAAAACCUCUGCUAUAUCUGCAGUGUUCCCCUUUUUCAUUCCUAAUACUGUUAAUUUUUACCUUACCUCUUUUGCCCUGGAUCCUUUCUAGAGGUUUGUCUUCUUUUCAAAGACCAACAUUUCAUUUUGUUGCUCCUCUAUUAUAUGUUUGUCUCUAUUUCCUUAUUUUCUAUAUUAUUUUGCUCCCCAACUUUUUGUGGGGGGUUAUUUGUUAUUUAAUUCCAGUAUCUAAAAAAAUUUAUUAUACUCUUCUCUUUAACUCUUGAGUUACCAGAAUUGUUUUUAAAAAUUUGCAAACAGAGAGGAUUAUUUUUAGCUCUUAUUUUAUUUUUAAUUUGUGUUCUCAUAGUAAACUAUCAGCGGCAGCAAACAAUUCCAAAUCUCAAAGGGCUUAACACACUACAAGUUUAUUUCUUGUUCAUUUGAAGUCCAACCUGAAUGUUUCUGUAUAUGACACAGAGAAUAAGCUUCUUCCCUUUUAGGCUGCCAAAAUUCUCAACACGCUGCUCCUUACGUUUUUGAAGAAGAGGAAGCAAGAGCGUGGAAGGUUGCACAGAAUAUUCUGUAUUCAGGCCUGACAGUACAUGCAACACUUUUGCUCACAUUCCAUAAGACAGACCUAAGCCUCCUAAAUUUACCAGGGGCUGGAAAUGCCGUCUAACUCUCAUGUCCAGGACAAAUAGGAAAAGCAGAAUCCCUGCCAUAAUUUCUAAUGUAAUUAUAUUAUUAUCAGAAAAUGUGUUCUGUAUGAUACCAAUUCUUUAGGACAUGUGAGACACAGUCAAUUUUUGUAAAUGUUCUGUGUGUGCCUGAAAAUAAUGUAUAUUUUCCAAUUACUGAAGGCAGGCUUCUAUAUACAUCAAUGAAAUCAAACUUUUUAAUUGUAUUGUUGAAAUUAUCUACAUUCUUACUGGUCUUCCUUUUUAAAAAAAAAAUUUCCUCCAUUUUAUUUUAUUUUUUAUUGAAAUACAUUUGAUAUAUAGCAUUGUGUAGAUUGAAGGUUGAAACAUGUUGAUUUGAUACAUUUAUAUAUCAUAAUUUGAUUGCCAUUGUAGUCUUUAUCAUAUCACAUAUUAUCACUUCUUUUUUGUGGUGGGAAUAAUUAAGAUCUACUCUCUUAGCAAGUCUGGUGAUUAUAAUACAAUAUUGUUGUCUGUAUUCAGUACACUGUGCUUUAAAUCUACAGGACUUAUUUAUCUACUGGUUACAACCUUAUUGGUUGUCUUAUCUACUUUAAGUAUUAAUGACCAAGACAUAUGAGGUAGAAAUUUCCCACAAUGUUGAUGAACUUGUCAAUUUCUCUUUGUAGUUAUUUUAUGUUAUUUAUUUUGAGGCUAUGAUAUUAAACAGUAUACAUUUACAAAUGUGGUAUCCUUUUGAUUAUAUCCUGUUAUUUUUAUACAGUUCCCUUCUUUAUUGGUGGUGUUUUUUCUUUAAAGAAUACAUUGAUACUUACUAUGGCUACAUUACUUUCUUUGGGUUAAAUUUUCCUGAUUGUUCUAAAAUUCUGACUAGAUAUAUUUUGGACUUUCUCUGUUCUCCUUGUGUCUUCAAUUCUUUUUUAAAAAUUUUUUAUCUUUUUAUCUUGAUUGCUUUAUUCUGUGUAAUUUCUCCUUUUAAGUAAAAAUCUUCCAUUUUAUUAAUUUUCUCCUCCAUUGUAACUAUCUGCUAUUUAACUCUUACAUUGAAUACUUACUUUCAAUUAUCAUACUUUUUAUUUCUAGGAGAUCUCUUCCUCCAAUUCUGCCUAAUCUCUUGCUGAUUAGUCAUAUUUUUACUUCCCUCCCCUCCAUUUUAAAACUUCUUUAAACAUAUAAAUAUAUUUAAUUUAUUUUCUAAUAUAUUCCUUGUAUUUGUACAUUUCCAAUAUUCCAAGUUCCUGUUGUUUAUAAUCUAUGUGACACUUGAUUAUGGUGGCCUAGUUUCUCAUGUGUUUUGUGAUUUUUCUUUUAUUGUGAACUUGUAUUCAAAAUAAAACACAAUCUUUUGAACUUUUAAAAUCCAUUCCUCAAGGGAGGAUUUGUGUUUCUUUCUGCCAUGGGUAUGAUGACAUUACAGACCUGAGUCCAGUUUAAAUAGGUCCAGAAAUGAAGAAUUUUAGUGUAUGAUAUUCCUUACCACGUAAACAGUAUAAAUUUUGAUCCUAAAUCCAUGUCUGAACCUUCCAGUGGCUAUAAAUUCUCAGGAGAGCUUUUCUCUCCUUCUCUUCUAGACAGUUUUCUUUCCUGCUUACCUCUGUGAAGGGUUAUUUAUUCACUUGUUUCUAGUGAACUCUUUUCCUUGUGAAUGGCUUUUCCUGAGCAUGGCUUUUAUGCUAGAUGGAGCUCUCUGCUCUUGGAAGAUGUACAGUUCUGGGCAGCCUGGGUAUAAAGGUUCUCCCAGGGCACCCAACUGCUUCAGUUCUCACUUCUUUCCCUAUAUUCAUACCACUGCUUUCC